rnacentral:tRNA from 1 species
GGUGGCUCAGUGGUAGAGCGUUUGCCUUACAUGCCUGAGGUCCUGGGUUCGAUUCCCAGCACCA